rnacentral:rRNA from 1 species
GAUGAACGCUGGCGGCGUGCCUAAUACAUGCAAGUCGAGCGAACAGACGAGGAGCUUGCUCCUCUGACGUUAGCGGCGGACGGGUGAGUAACACGUGGAUAACCUACCUAUAAGACUGGGAUAACUUCGGGAAACCGGAGCUAAUACCGGAUAAUAUAUUGAACCGCAUGGUUCAAUAGUGAAAGACGGUUUUGCUGUCACUUAUAGAUGGAUCCGCGCCGCAUUAGCUAGUUGGUAAGGUAACGGCUUACCAAGGCAACGAUGCGUAGCCGACCUGAGAGGGUGAUCGGCCACACUGGAACUGAGACACGGUCCAGACUCCUACGGGAGGCAGCAGUAGGGAAUCUUGCGCAAUGGGCGAAAGCCUGACGGAGCAACGCCGCGUGAGUGAUGAAGGUCUUCGGGUCGUAAAACUCUGUUAUUAGGGAAGAACAAAUGUGUAAGUAACUAUGCACGUCUUGACGGUACCUAAUCAGAAAGCCACGGCUAACUACGUG